UGUCAAGGCCCGCCUCGUUGCCC
rnacentral:siRNA from 1 species